rnacentral:lncRNA from 1 species
UUGUAAUCCUACAAUGUGAUUUGCCUAAGAGCAAAUGAACGAGAGAUAGAACUCAAAGAAUGGGUUCUUUGAGUGACAAGAAAGUAAUCAACAAAUAUGACAACCUAGUUCCUAUACCACAAGCUCCAAGGUAGUCGAGAAGGAUUAAUAAACCGUCUCAGUUGAAUGGUUUGAACUUUAUGACUAUGUCAUAGAGUUGCACCUCUUAAUUCGAAAGAAAUAAGAAUGAAAAUCCUUAUGACUACAUUGAGUGUAUAUAUGAUAUAUACUCAAGGAAAUGGUAAAGUACCAUUUAACCCGAAAUAAUGAAACCUUCAUAGCUAAUUGGUAGCUUAAGGUGACUACAAUCAAAGAGAAUGGUUGACUUUGAAGGAACCAUUUUUGACGUAGUCUUAGUUUCAAUUAAUUCGAAGAUUGCUAGCUACAACUAAAUGGUGAUUUAAUGUUUGGACAUAAUAUAGGUUUCCGAAACCAUUAUUAAGAUAGUCUUGAUAAUAUAUGUCUAAAACUAUGAAU